rnacentral:rRNA from 1 species
GACGAACCGUGCGAACGUUGUUCGGAAUCACUGGGCAUAAAGGGCGCGUAGGCGGCUUUUCAAGUCAGGGGUGAAAUCCGGCAGCUCAACUGUCGAAGUGCCCUUGAUACUGAUGAGCUCGAGGGAGGUAGGGGUAUGUGGAACUUCCGGUGGAGCGGUGAAAUGCGUUGAUAUCGGAAGGAACGCCGGUGGCGAAAGCGACGUACUGGACCUCUUCUGACGCUGAGGCGCGAAAGCUAGGGGGAGCAAACGGG